CCGUACUCCACGGGGACUUAGCGAAUCUCUCGACUCGAACGCUUAGCGAGGUGCAGAGCCUACUGUGAGGCUUGUAUGGUUAUUGAUAAAGGUCAUAAUAUUGUUGAUAGUUUAAAAUACAGUGGCGUAAACUGUCGAACCGUGUCAGGGUGGAAACACAGCAGCACUAAGGCAAUCUUUACGGGUAUUGUAUCUUUAAAAAGAAGAUAUUAUCAUCUGAGUCAGUAGUCCAUAUCUGUCGAUAGGUAGUGGUACGG
rnacentral:SRP_RNA from 2 species